UACAUUUAAACACAAUUCCUUUGUUCCCAUAUCCUGAAAUCAGUAAAUUUAAGCAAUUUUAUUUUUCAUUCUGUGCUUCAGGGAUCUAUGAGGGUCAACACAUAUUUAUCACACGCUGACCUUGUGCUCAGGCCUAUAGGAAAAUGAACCUCCCUGCCCGCAAUGACCUUAGAACCUAACUAAGGAUAUGGUUAAAACAAGCGCAGGAUUGGGUGAGACCUGCUCAAGGGUCAGGCGCUGGUUUGUCGGGGAGAAAUGUUGCCCAGGAAGGACAGGUGUGAAAGAAAGAGAAGAUCCUGCAAGACCGGAGGGCCCAGGAAAGUCUGGGGGACUCAAAGGAGAGUUUCAGGAUUGACCAUGGGUGGACAGGGCUCUGCAGACCAGGAUCUUUUCUAUGCACACUUGGGGCCAGAAAGUUCUUUGUGGUGGGGGCUGUCCUGUACAAUGCAGGAAGCUCAGCAGCAUCCCUGGCCUCCACCCACUCAAUGCCAGUGGCACUCCCUCCCUAGUUGUAAAUGUGUGCAGACAUUAGUACUUGUCACCUGCAGGGAAGAAUCACCCCACUGAGAACCACAUGCUGAGUCAAGGCAACAGCAUAGGAAUUGGAGCACGCAAGAGAGCUGGUCAACACAGAGAGAUGAGCUUCAGGGGCUGCUGGAUGUACUCCACCUGGAAGCAGAGGCCGAGGACCCCUCCUCCUGGACUAGGGCUCACCUCGCCUCCUGACUGUAUUCUGCCUGUGUUCUCCUCCAGUCCCACCCUUAUUUCUCUUUGUCUAAAUGGCAAACUCCCUUUAAGCAAGAAUUCAUGGCGUCUCCACAUUCGGCCCUCAAGAAACUUUUAUUGAGUUGAACUAAAACCAGGCAUGUCUUAAGUGUUCAUGGCUGAUAAUGCGGGAUCCUUCAACGCUGGAAACGCCCAGAUGGUAACGAGAGUUCUGAUAGUGCCGGAUCCUUCGACGCUGGAAACGCCCAGAUGAAACUUCAUGAUGAUCAACCACACCUCACAUUUGCUUCAUUCAGUCUAUGGACCAGGAAGAAUUUUCUGUGACACAUUCAGGUUCUUACUCAUUUACAGAGUCACAGAUCUGUCAGCCUGGGAACCGGCCCCCAAAUGGAAGACCUAGGCAGUUCUGAUGGGUCCAUCUGCAAGGGGAGUCACAGAAGUGUGUGAUGAGGAGAGGAAGAGAUACAACAGAUGUCUUAUGAGAAGCAGAGGGAGGACCUCAAGAGACUGCCUGGCCCAGUCCCUCACUAGGCGUAAGAAACAAACUCACCCAUCCAAACCCGAAGAAUGGACUCAGAGACCCAGAGAACAGCGAAAGUGAGAUUUUUAAUAAACAGUCAGUCUUGCAAAAUCGGGUGUCUGACGGACAGGCACACCCAGCAGUUUCAACAA
ensembl:lncRNA LINC03066 long intergenic non-protein coding RNA 3066